rnacentral:snRNA from 1 species
GUGUGCGUGCUUGCUUUGGCAUUGGAACAAUUCAGAGAAGAUUAGCACAAGGAUGACACGCACAUUCGAGAAGAGUUCCAUAUUUUU